UCCAUAAGCGACUUCCGAGUUGUCCUCUCCCACCGGGAAGGGCAAACGUCAGGGCCGGGGAGCAAUCCCUUGACCUGCUAUUGGGCAAAGGAAGGUACUCUUUGUAGGG
rnacentral:ncRNA from 1 species